GUUCCUCCUCCCCUCUUUUCCCUCCCCUUUCCCUCUCUUCGGAGAGUAUGCCUGUUUGAGGUUCAGCCUAAGAAAAAACAACGUAUUCGCUGUUUCGCGGUUACAUUCGUCUGAGAUUGGUGCGUCUUAAACCUUUUGUUGUUUUAAGCGGCUUAAAAUUUUCUUUACUAUUCCACUAACGUUGCUAAGAUUUUACUUCUAACACUCUUUUAAUGUUUCGAUCUUUUUUAGAGUUGCCCUUU
rnacentral:misc_RNA from 1 species